GGGUGUAGCCAAGCGGUAAGGCAACGGGUUUUGAUCCCGUCAUGCGUAGGUUCGAAUCCUGCCACCC
rnacentral:tRNA from 1 species